rnacentral:rRNA from 1 species
UACGUAGGGUGCAGGCGUUAAUCGGAAUUACUGGGCGUAAAGAGCGUGUAGGCGGUCCGGUAAGUCCGCUGUGAAAGUCGGGGGCUCAACCCUCGAAUGCCGGUGGAAACUGUCGGGCUGGAGUCCGGAAGAGGCGAGUGGAAUUCCUGGUGUAGCGGUGAAAUGCGCAGAUAUCAGGAGGAACACCAAUGGCGAAGGCAGCUCGCUGGGACGGUACUGACGCUGGAGACGCGAAAGCGUGGGGAGCAAACAGG